rnacentral:rRNA from 1 species
AACGAACGCUGGCGGCAUGCCUAACACAUGCAAGUCGAACGAGACCUUCGGGUCUAGUGGCGCACGGGUGCGUAACGCGUGGGAAUCUGCCCUUCGGUUUGGAAUAACUGAGAGAAAUUUCAGCUAAUACCUUAUAAUGUCUUCGGACCAAAGAUUUAUCGCCGAGGGAUGAGCCCGCGUAGGAUUAGGUAGUUGGUGGGGUAAUGGCCUACCAAGCCGACGAUCCUUAGCUGGUCUGAGAGGAUGAUCAGCCACACUGGGGCUGAGACACGGCCCAGACUCCUACGGGAGGCAGCAGUGGGGAAUAUUGGAAAAUGGGCGAAAGCCUGAUCCAGCAAUGCCGCGUGAGUGAUGAAGGCCUUAGGGUUGUAAAGCUCUUUUACCCGGGAUGAUAAUGACAGUACCGGGAGAAUAAGCUCCGGCUAACUCCGUG